rnacentral:lncRNA from 1 species
UUUGAGUUGGGGAAGAAGGUGACAUCGCAUAUACAUCAGCAUGCAAGAUGAUGGCGCAACCAGUGUGGCAGAGUAAUCUUGUUGUCUUUUCUGUGUUUAUCGCUUGAGGUUUUCUCAGUGAUUGAAAAUCUAAUACUCUUGAUCUAUCCUCAACUUGUCGACCCAAAAGUGACACAUAAUUUGGAAAACCUUUUGGAUCAGCUGAUCAAUCAUCAAUUAUGUUUCCUCUCUUUCUAAGAAUCCCAGAUGAUCUCAUUGUGUUUUCCUGUUCUGUCAAGUCCUAACCUGACCUGAUAACAGUUCAGUUGGCUUUCAUUACCCAGAUGGCGACAACCCCUCUCUCUGCGUUAUACAAGGAGAUGAACAACAAUUAUUGUGUUGUCGAAUAGGCAAUGGCGAUUUAGACCCGUUGAGGAGGUGUUUCAUUGGCUUCUAGGCAAUGUUUCCAUAUGUCAGAGUUGAACCUUAUUUAUAUUGAACUCUCGUGAGCAGAGAUAUAGUGUUCGAAUUCAGCUGCAUUGAUCACAACUUCUUCGACAUUAAUUGAAUAAGGAACCCUAUAUCUGGACCCAAGGAAGCUUAGCAAGGGAGUUACGAUUCCAAAUGUAUGAAGACAUAUCACAGUUUGACAUGAUAGUAGCUAUGUGCUUGAAAUGAGCUAAGGCAUGACACAAAUUAUUCACCACAGAAAUACUUAUUGUGACAA